rnacentral:lncRNA from 1 species
CAAAAAGUGAAAAAUAAAAAAAGGUUUUCCUUCAGGAUACUUUUAUCUUGAAAAAACAGCAGGAAUUCAGGACAGAAUUUAAAUGGAAAGUAUUUCAGAUAUAUGUCUGAGAUAUGUGAGAGCUUUCAACUCUGAUCAUCGAUGCCAGUUCUAUCAGUGCAACUGUGAUGCCAUUAACCUAUGAGCUGUGACCUUGGGCACACAUCAGUAUUAGGUUCAGUGGCUCAUAAUGCCAGGUACCUUGAAGCCACCUUGCUGCUAUAGGUCCUAGCUGGUCUUCAGCCCUUCCUCUUGACAGCUCUCCCCACUCCAUCUCCAGUUUUCUUACUAUUCUGGAAUACAGAUAUAUCUAAACUUUUUCAGAAAGCUAAGUCGCAUGCUUCUGAAGAAAAAUUGAAAGAAGAGACGGAAAUGCUGUGAACAAAGCUGAGAUAAACAAUCUUUCUACUUCCCCAAGGGCUCUAUCUAUCUCCACUGGAUAGUUUGAGCUACCUUAGACUCAUCCUACCUUGGGCUCCACAGAACAACUCUUAAAGCCAAGCAGCAGACCUAAGAAGUAAUCUGUCUUCCACGUCAGAACGUAGUCAGAUUGAAGUGUAGGACAUAGAGAUGAUGGUACAUUAACAUAUCAAGCCCCAGCACUGGCAGUGAGGGUGCAUGAGAAGUCUUCUUGGUGUGCAUCAUCUUUGAUUCAUCCAAGAACAUUUGAGUAGCAGUAACUGGUUAGACAAACGUAAGGAGAGUAGACAUUCACCUCUGUGGGGAGAAAAAGGAAUGUGACCUAUGCUCCUGGAAAAGGUUGAUCCUUCCAAUCUAUUUGGUAACAAGAGAAACUGCUGGAGAAACCCUUUGUCAUCAAGUAGAUAAAGGAUCUUCCCAGUAACAUUAUAAGGUAUUCUAAACACAGGCUAGAAUACCCAGUUUACAGAUGAGGAGAAUAAUGACAGAGCUGAGACAAGGCCUCUACCCUAGCGUUUGAACUCUGACCCAUGGUGCCCCAGAUGUAUUCUAGUUGCUGCUCCUGCUCCUGCCUUCGAAAGCUCCAAUCUGCAGAGCUGUUUGUAAAUUAAAACAGAAGGCCAAAUUAAAAUGGAGAGAAAGCAAGCCAGGUCUGACAGUAAUAUUAAUCCCUUUGAAAUCGCUGGUCUUUUCAAUUAACAGCCUCUUUCUAAGAUGUUUAUUGCUGCUGGCUUGAACUGAGGUCAUUAAAAUGCUCAUGAUCAGGUUCUCAAAAAGCCUGCUUAAAUACUCUCUACCAGGGUUUGGGUACCACUUCUGCUUUGCAUAGAUCCAGAGAGAAAGA